AUUGAACGCUGGCGGCAGGCCUAACACAUGCAAGUCGAACGAGUGGCGGACGGGUGAGUAAUGUCUGGGAAACUGCCUGAUGGAGGGGGAUAACUACUGGAAACGGUAGCUAAUACCGCAUACCAUCAGAUGUGCCCAGAUGGGAGUAGCUUGUUGGUGGGGUAACGGCUCACCAAGGCGACGAUCCCUUGCUGGUCUGAGAGGAUGACCAGCCAUACUUGAACUGAGACAAGGUCCAGACGCCUACGGUAGGCAGCAGUGGGGAAUAUUGAACAAGGGGCGCAAGCCUGAUGCAGCCAUGCCGCGUGUAUGAAGAAGGCCUUCGGGUUGUAAAGUACUUUCAGCGGGGAGGCGUUACCCGCAGAAGAAGCACAGGCUAACUCCGUGCCAGAAGCCGCGGUAAUAC
rnacentral:rRNA from 1 species